rnacentral:rRNA from 1 species
AAACGCUUGAAGUCAGUCACAUUGGCUAGAAAUCAGCCUUGCUUUUGCUUGGUGUAUUUUCUAGUGAAUGGGUCAGCAUCAAUUCUGAUUACUGGAUAAAGUCUUUGGGAAUGUGGCAUCUUUAGAUGUGUUAUAGCUCAUUGUUCGUAUACAGUGGUUGGGAUUGAGGAACUCAGCAUGCCUCUCUCACCAAGGGGCCGGGUUUUUUUUUAAAAACCACGUUCAUGCUUAGGAUGCUGGCAUAAUGGCUUUAAUCGA